CCGAUGGCGACCGGCGCACGGGUGAGUAACACGUAUCCAACCUGCCGUCUACUCUUGGACAGCCUUCUGAAAGGAAGAUUAAUACAAGAUGGCAUCAUGAGUCCGCAUGUUCACAUGAUUAAAGGUAUUCCGGUAGACGAUGGGGAUGCGUUCCAUUAGAUAGUAGGCGGGGUAACGGCCCACCUAGUCUUCGAUGGAUAGGGGUUCUGAGAGGAAGGUCCCCCACAUUGGAACUGAGACACGGUCCAAACUCCUACGGGAGGCAGCAGUGAGGAAUAUUGGUCAAUGGGCGAGAGCCUGAACCAGCCAAGUAGCGUGAAGGAUGACUGCCCUAUGGGUUGUAAACUUCUUUUAUAAAGGAAUAAAGUCGGGUAUGUAUACCCGUUUGCAUGUACUUUAUGAAUAAGGAUCGGCUAACUCCGUGCCAGCAGCCGCGGUAAUACGGAGGAUCCGAGCGUUAUCCGGAUUUAUUGGGUUUAAAGGGAGCGUAGAUGGAUGUUUAAGUCAGUUGUGAAAGUUUGCGGCUCAACCGUAAAAUUGCAGUUGAUACUGGAUAUCUUGAGUGCAGUUGAGGCAGGCGGAAUUCGUGGUGUAGCGGUGAAAUGCUUAGAUAUCACGAAGAACUCCGAUUGCGAAG
rnacentral:rRNA from 1 species